rnacentral:rRNA from 1 species
GAUGAACGCUGGCGGCGUGCCUAAUACAUGCCAGUCGAGCGAACGGACGAGAAGCUUGCUUUUCUGAUGUUAGCGGCGGACGGGUGAGUAACACGUGGAUAACCUACCUAUAAGACUGGGAUAACUUCGGGAAACCGGAGCUAAUACCGGAUAAUAUUUUGAACCGCAUGGUUCAAAAGUGAAAGACGGUCUUGCUGCCACUUAUAGAUGGAUCCGCGCUGCAUUAGCUAGUUGGUAAGGUAACGGCUUACCAAGGCAACGAUGCAUAGCCGACCUGAGAGGGUGAUCGGCCACACUGGAACUGAGACACGGUCCAGACUCCUACGGGAGGCAGCAGUAGGGAAUCUUCCGCAAUGGGCGAAAGCCUGACGGAGCAACGCCGCGUGAGUGAUGAAGGUCUUCGGAUCGUAAAACUCUGUUAUUAGGGAAGAACAUAUGUGUAAGUAACUGUGCACAUCUUGACGGUACCUAAUCAGAAAGCCACGGCUAACUAUGUG